rnacentral:rRNA from 1 species
GGGGAAUAUUGGGCAAUGGGCGCAAGCCUGACCCAGCCACGCCGCGUGAGUGAUGACGGCCUUCGGGUCGUAAAGCUCUGUGGGGAGGGACGAAACCACGUUGGCUAAUAUCCAACGGUCUGACGGUACCUCCUUAGCAAGCACCGGCUAACUCCGUGCCAGCAGCCGCGGUAAUACGGAGGGUGCAAACGUUGCUCGGAAUCAUUGGGCGUAAAGCGCACGUAGGCGGUCCAGCAAGCGGGGAGUGAAAGCCCUCGGCUUAACCGAGGAAGUGCUUUCCGAACUACUGGACUUGAAUACUGAAGAGGAUCGCGGAAUUCCCGGUGUAGAGGUGAAAUUCGUAGAUAUCGGGAGGAACACCAGUGGCGAAGGCGGCGAUCUGGGCAGAUAUUGACGCUGAGGUGCGAAAGCGUGGGGAGCAAAC